UACAGAGGUCUCAAGCGUUGUUCGGAUUCAUUGGGCGUAAAGGGUGCGUAGGUGGUGACGCAAGUCUGGUGUGAAAUCUCGGAGCUUAACCCCGAAAUUGCACCGGAUACUGCGUAACUCGAGGACUGUAGAGGAGAUCGGAAUUCACGGUGUAGCAGUGAAAUGCGUAGAUAUCGUGAGGAAGACCAGUUGCGAAGGCGGAUCUCUGGGCAGUUCCUGACACUGAGGCACGAAGGCCAGGGGAGCAAACAGG
rnacentral:rRNA from 1 species